rnacentral:siRNA from 1 species
CUAAGUGUGCUUUGGAUAUAAUC